rnacentral:piRNA from 1 species
AAAAGUCCUGUUUAUUUCUCAAGU